UGAACGCUAGCUACAGGCUUAACACAUGCAAGUCGAGGGGAAACGACAUCGAAAGCUUGCUUUUGAUGGGCGUCGACCGGCGCACGGGUGAGUAACGCGUAUCCAACCUGCCCAUCACUUGGGGAUAACCUUGCGAAAGUAAGACUAAUACCCAAUGAUAUCUCUAGAAGACAUCUGAAAGAGAUUAAAGAUUUAUCGGUGAUGGAUGGGGAUGCGUCUGAUUAGCUUGUUGGCGGGGUAACGGCCCACCAAGGCGACGAUCAGUAGGGGUUCUGAGAGGAAGGUCCCCCACAUUGGAACUGAGACACGGUCCAAACUCCUACGGGAGGCAGCAGUGAGGAAUAUUGGUCAAUGGACGAGAGUCUGAACCAGCCAAGUAGCGUGCAGGAUGACGGCCCUAUGGGUUGUAAACUGCUUUUAUAAGGGAAUAAAGUGAGUCUCGUGAGACUUUUUGCAUGUACCUUAUGAAUAAGGACCGGCUAAUUCCGUGCCAGCAGCCGCGGUAAUACGGAAGGUCCGGGCGUUAUCCGGAUUUAUUGGGUUUAAAGGGAGCGUAGGCCGGAGAUUAAGCGUGUUGUGAAAUGUAGACGCUCAACGUCUGCACUGCAGCGCGAACUGGUUUCCUUGAGUACGCACAAAGCAGGCGGAAUUCGUGGUGUAGCGGUGAAAUGCUUAGAUAUCACGAAGAACUCCGAUUGCGAAGGCAGCUCACUGGAGCGCAACUGACGCUGAAGCUCGAAAGUGCGGGUAUCGAACAGGAUUAGAUACCCUGGUAGUCCGCACGGUAAACGAUGGAUGCCCGCUGUUGGUCUGAAUAGGUCAGCGGCCAAGCGAAAGCAUUAAGCAUUCCACCUGGGGAGUACGCCGGCAACGGUGAAACUCAAAGGAAUUGACGGGGGCCCGCACAAGCGGAGGAACAUGUGGUUUAAUUCGAUGAUACGCGAGGAACCUUACCCGGGCUUGAAUUGCAGAGGAAGGAUUUGGAGACAAUGACGCCCUUCGGGGCCUCUGUGAAGGUGCUGCAUGGUUGUCGUCAGCUCGUGCCGUGAGGUGUCGGCUUAAGUGCCAUAACGAGCGCAACCCCUCUCCUUAGUUGCCAUCAGGUCAAGCUGGGCACUCUGGGGACACUGCCACCGUAAGGUGUGAGGAAGGUGGGGAUGACGUCAAAUCAGCA
rnacentral:rRNA from 1 species